CCUACGGGAGGCAGCAGUGAGGAAUAUUGGUCAAUGGCCGGAAGGCUGAACCAGCCAAACCGCGUGAAGGACGAAGGUGCCAAGCAUUGUACACUUCUUUUGUCAAGGGACAAAAUCAGGCUCGAGAGCCUGACCGAGGGUACUUGAAGAAAAAGCAUCGGCUAACUCCGUGCCAGCCGCCGCGGUAAUAAGGAGGAUGCGCGCGUUGUCCGGAUUUAUUGGGUUUAAAGGGAGCGUAGGUGGGUUGUUAAGUCAGUUGUGAAAGUGUGGGGCUCAACCGUAACAUUGCAGUUGAAACUGGCAGUCUUGAGUACAGUAGAGGUAGGCGGAAUGCGUGGUGUAGCGGUGAAAUGCUUAGAUAUC
rnacentral:rRNA from 1 species